rnacentral:piRNA from 1 species
CUCAGGGUCAGGGCCUGGCUGAGG